GACGAACGCUGGCGGCGUGCCUAAUACAUGCAAGUUGAGCGCUGAAGGUUGGUACUUGUACCAACUGGAUGAGCAGCGAACGGGUGAGUAACGCGUGGGGAAUCUGCCUUUGAGCGGGGGACAACAUUUGGAAACGAAUGCUAAUACCGCAUAAAAACUUUAAACACAAGUUUUAAGUUUGAAAGAUGCAAUUGCAUCACUCAAAGAUGAUCCCGCGUUGUAUUAGCUAGUUGGUGAGGUAAAGGCUCACCAAGGCGAUGAUACAUAGCCGACCUGAGAGGGUGAUCGGCCACAUUGGGACUGAGACACGGCCCAAAAUCCUACGGGAGGCAGCAGUAGGGAAUCUUCGGCAAUGGACGAAAGUCUGACCGAGCAACGCCGCGUGAGUGAAGAAGGUUUUCGGAUCGUAAAACUCUGUUGGUAGAGAAGAACGUUGGUGAGAGUGGAAAGCUCAUCAAGUGACGGUAACUACCCAGAAAGGGACGGCUAACUACGUG
rnacentral:rRNA from 1 species